rnacentral:rRNA from 1 species
GUUUUAGCAGCCGCGGUAAUACGGAGGGUGCGAGCGUUGUUCGGAAUUAUUGGGCGUAAAGCGCGUGCAGGCGGUUGCUUAAGUCUGAUGUGAAAGCCCUGGGCUCAACCCGGGAAGUGCAUUGGAAACUGGGCAACUUGAGUACGGGAGAGGGUAGUGGAAUUCCGAGUGUAGGGGUGAAAUCCGUAGAUAUUCGGAGGAACACCGGUGGCGAAGGCGGCUACCUGGACCGAUACUGACGCUGAGACGCGAAAGCGUGGGGAGCAAACAGGAUUAGAAACCCUCGUAGUCC